GAUGAACGCUGGCGGCGUGCCUAAUACAUGCAAGUCGAGCGAACAGACGAGGAGCUUGCUCCUCUGACGUUAGCGGCGGACGGGUGAGUAACACGUGGAUAACCUACCUAUAAGACUGGGAUAACUUCGGGAAACCGGAGCUAAUACCGGAUAAUAUAUUGAACCGCAUGGUUCAAUAGUGAAAGACGGUUUUGCUGUCACUUAUAGAUGGAUCCGCGCCGCAUUAGCUAGUUGGUAAGGUAACGGCUUACCAAGGCAACGAUGCGUAGCCGACCUGAGAGGGUGAGGCCCCACACGAGAACUGACACGCUCCACAGCCUCACGGGGGGGGCAGCUGUGGGGAAUCUCCCACAGGGGGAAAGCUUUUCGGGGCGACGCCCCGCGAGAGAUAAGAGGCUCUGGGUCGUAAAAAUCUCUUUUAUGAGGAAAAAAAAAGUGUAUAAAAAUCUACGCGCCUCUACGGGACCCAUACAGAAAGCCCCGCGUAUAACUGC
rnacentral:rRNA from 1 species